AGUGAACGCUGGCGGUAGGCCUAACACAUGCAAGUCGAACGGCAGCACAGUAAGAGCUUGCUCUUACGGGUGGCGAGUGGCGGACGGGUGAGGAAUACAUCGGAAUCUACUUUUUCGUGGGGAAUAACGUAGGAAAACUUCCCCUAAUACCUCAAACCACCUACCGGUAAAUCCAGGUUUUUUUCGACCCUUUCCCUCUCUAAUGGCCCGUUGCCGGUUUAAUUAGUUGGCGGGGUAAGGCCCAACCAAGGCAACGAUCCGUACCUGGUCUGAUAGGAUGAUCAGCCAAACUGGAACGGAGACACGGUCCAGACUCCUACGGGAGGAAGAAGUGGGGAAUGUUGGACAAUGGGCGCAAGCCUGAUCCAGCCAGACCGCGUAGGUGAAGAAGGCCUUCGGGUUGUAAAGCCCGUUUGUUGGGAAAGAAAAGCAGCAGGUUAAUAAGCCGAUGUACUGACGGUAACCAAAGAAUAAGCAACGGCUAACUUCGUG
rnacentral:rRNA from 1 species